UUGUUAUUUAUGUAGUAUUAUAAUCGUUGAUGCAAAUAAAUAUAUUCGUUAUUUUUUAACAUAUAUGAGAAAAUUUUAGUUUGUAAAUUAAAAAAUAUAAUGAUAUUGUAUAACUAAAUGUUAAAUUGCUUAUAAAAUUAAAAUGACCACAAUAUAAGAAGGUUUUUAUUGGAUUACCUUAUUUAUUGGAUUACCUUAUGAGAUGUAGAAUUUAAAAUUGUAAAAAAAAUAUAUUAUUAUUAAUAUAAUUAGCGCCAGGCAUCAAAAACUACUCCCUCAUUUUCAAUCCUCGGGUCUCUCCAACUUCGCAUUACAACCGCAUAAACUCACUAUUUACGGUUAUAUCACGAUCAUUUUCAUUCUGGUUCUCCUUCCUCCCACGAUCUCCUUCAUCACGAUCUGAAGAUCGCAACCCUUGCCCACGACACCCUCUAUAUCCUUUUCAACUUCUCACGUUUCUUCAACCCCCGCGGGUCAAUGCAUAUACCAAUCGUUGAAUUUACCAGUUGCUUCUCCCUGUAACACCGUAAAUUUCAAAAUAAUUUUUCGCAUAAUAUAAAAAAUAUUCAUUUAAUUUUCAUAAAAACAUCAAUGUUUGAAACUCCAAUCCAUGUCAUACAAAGAAUCCCAAGAUCACAUAACAUAAAAAUCUCAUGUGUGUGUACUGAUCAAGCCGGCGCUUUCCCACGGUCAUCACUAGUACCUGAAACAAACAACACCAACACUGUAAGCACAAAGCUUAGUGAGUUCCCUAAAAUACCACGCAUAACACAUAUUAGCCACUCGAGGCUAGAACUCUGUGGGUCUGUAGACCGUACUUUGUGAACCCUCUGCUUCUAACUCUGGGAACCUUCCGGUUCCAAAUCUAUAAACAUGCACAACAUAAAUCACAUAGAAAUAAUGCAGUACAACACAUAACAUACAUAUGGCAUACAAAUACUCUGUCACAUAACUCUGAUUACCUACUCAAGGUAAAGUAUAGUGAGAAGACUCACCUCGCGUAUCUCGAUAACUCGCAAAUCCCGGAAAUCACUCGCGCUCGAUCCUCCGAGCUAUAAUCCUCCUAUAACACAAUAUAUCUCUAAUUAACACUUUCUCAACUAAGGUUGACUACCCCUAUCAAGUCAACACUGGUCAACUCUGGUCAACGGUCAACGGUCAACUUUGACCGGACUCGGCGAGUGCACUAGAGCGACUCGGCGAGUCUAUACGUGUUCACUGACUCCCUAGGAUCCUCUCUUGACACGUCGAGUACUUCCCUGACUCGACGAGUUCCACCUGGCAUGAAUCGCGGGGCCACCACGACUCAACUCGCCGAGUCUCAAGAACAACUCGGCGAGUUCCAGCUUGACUCAGUCCACCUGUCAACCCUCUCUGACUCUCCCUGACUCACUGAGUCAACCCUUAACUCGGUAAGACCACUCGCUGAGUGGUUAUGGACAAUCUUCAUGCUACUCGCCGAGUCUGUUCUUCGGACUCGGCGAGUCUAAGCCAUGCAUGAACUCAAACUCACUCCUGAGGUCAGAUCCGUUCCAGUAACUCAUAGAUCCAGUCCUUCCAAGCACAUUUAUCACGUAAAGUUACAAUCUUGGUGCUCAUGCAAAGGUCCAAAGGCCUUAUUUGAUGAUAUGGUCUCUAGAAUGCUAUUCUAAGCUCAUGGCCUCCAUUAACACUCAUAAAGCUUGAGGGAAAAGAGUCUCUGGACCUCUUUGGGUCCAGAUCUAAAGCAUCAACACAAAAAGAGGCCAAUUACUCCAUGAAUCAUUCCACAAAGAAGCCCUAACUCUAAGAUUUACACCAAGGGCUGAGAAAGGAACGAAUGGUUACCUCAAAUGAAGUCUCUGGACUCAGGAAUCACUGGAUUAGCACCUCCUUUGGUCUCCUCUUGCCUUGAUCCUCUUCUAUAUGCAAAAUCACCCACAAAUAAUCAAGGAUCUUCCUCUUUUCUCUCACAAAACGCUCAAGGACUCUUUUAGGGUUCUCUCUGGGGUUGGUGGCCGCAAAUGACGGCCAUAAGCCCCUUUAAAUAGGUCUCAUACCCUGAAAUUUAGGGUUUCAUUAAACAGCGUGGACUCGCCGAGUCCACCUUUUGGACUCGCCGAGUCCGGACGCGAACCCUUUCCCAAACCGCGAUCAUACUCGGCGAGUUUGAGCUCCAACUCGCCGAGUCUCCUCACAAAACACCAAAAUUAAGAAGAAUAAAUAAUACCUGGGAAUCCGGGCUGUUACAAUUCUCCCCCACUAGAACUAGACUUCGCCCUCGAAGUCUCGCUCUGCAAAUAACUCCGGAUGCUGCUCACGCAUCUCAAGCUCCGGCUCCCAAGUCAUCUCGGACCCCUUACGAUGCCGCCACUGAACCAAAACCAAGGGUAUCUCCUUGUUCCUCAGAACCUUGAUUUUCCGAUCUCUGAUUGCCACUGGUCUCUCAGCAUAAUUCAGGCUCGCAUCCACCUGAAUAUCCUCUAAUGGAACCACUGCCGACUCAUCGGCUAUACAUUUCCUCAGUUGCGACACAUGAAAAGUGUCGUGAAUCUGCCCCAACUCUGCUGGCAAAUCCAAACGAUAGGCUACCCGGCCUACCCUCGCGAUCACUCGGAAUGGACCAAUAUAUCGGGGCCCCAACUUGCCCCUCUUCCUGAAUCGAAUCACUCCUUUCCAAGGAGAGACCUUCAGGAGUACAAGGUCACCGACCUGAAACUCAAGCUCGGACCGGCGUCUGUCUGCAUAGCUCUUCUGACGACUCUGAGCGGUCAACAACCUCUGUCUGACCUGUUGGAUCUGCUUUGUCGUCUGAAGCACGAUCUCUGUACUGUCCAACCUCUCCCCAACAAAUGGGGGUCCGACAACUCCUCCUGUACAACAGCUCAAAGGGCGGCAUACCAAUGCUCGAAUGAUGGCUGUUGUUGUAGGAAAACUCUGCCAAGGGUAAAUACGCAUCCCAGCUACCCCCGAAAUCCAACACACAUGCUCGGAGCAUGUCCUCAAGCGUCUGAAUCGUCCGCUCACUCUGACCGUCUGUCUGGGGAUGAUAUGCGGUACUAAAAUGCAGUCUAGUACCCAACUCCUCAUGAAACUUCUUCCAGAAUCUGGAAGUGAAACGCACAUCACGGUCUGAAACAAUCGAGAUCGGCACCCCAUGCCGAGAUACCACUUCCCUCACAUACACCUCUGCCAAUUUCUCUGCUGAAGAACUCUCGCUGAUAGCAAGGAAGUGAGCGCUCUUCGUCAAUCUGUCCACAAUCACCCAAAUUGCAUCAACUCCUCUGGCAGUCCUUGGCAAUUUGGUGAUGAAAUCCAUAGUGAUCUGUUCCCACUUCCAUUCGGGAACCUCCAAUGGCUGCAACUUACCAUGCGGCCUCUGGUGCUCGGCCUUAACCCUACGGCAGGUCAAGCACCUCUCAACAAACCACGCAACAUCCCUCUUCAUACAGGGCCACCAAUACUCCUUUCUCAGAUCCAAAUACAUCUUAGUGGCCCCCGGAUGGAUCGAAAAUUUCGACCGAUGAGCCUCCUCCAUCAAAAUGGUACGCGUUCCUCCCACAAACGGCACCCAGAUACGCCCCUGAAAUGUCAUAAGCCCCCGACCAUCGGUAACGAACUCUGAAACCAAACCAACAACCCGUUCCCUCUUCUGCAUCUCAGGUUGCACAGCCUCGGCCUGUGCCCCACGAAUGGCGUCCAACACUGGAGCUAUCACGGUCAAUCUCAAACAUACAUCCCGCAGCGGGGUGCUCUCCGCCCUGCGGCUCAGUGCAUCGGCUACAACAUUAGCCUUGCCUGGGUGGUACAGGAUCUCACAAUCAUAAUCCUUGACCACAUCCAACCACCUUCUCUGUCGCAUAUUUAGGUUGGGCUGAUCCAUCAAAUACUUCAAACUCUUAUGGUCCGUGUAUAUCGUACACCGAACCCCAUACAAGUAGUGACGCCAAAUCUUGAGGGCGAACACCACUGCCCCCAACUCUAGAUCAUGGGUGGGAUAUCUCGUCUCAUGAGGCUUCAGCUGCCUCGAUGCAUAUGCUAUCACAUGCCCUCUCUGCAUCAGCACCGCUCCCAACCCCAAAAUCGAUGCAUCACAGUAUACCACAAAGUCCUCCAUCCCUUCCGGGAGAGCUAACACCGGGGCUUCGCACAACCUUUGGCGAAGUGUCUCAAAGGAGGCCUGCUGCUCGGGGCCCCAUGAAAAAGCAACACCCUUCCGGGUCAAUCUGGUGAGUGGCACUGCGAUCUUGGAGAAAUCCUUGAUAAAUCUCCGAUAAUACCCUGCCAACCCUAGGAAACUCCUGAUCUCGGAGGGUGACUUCGGCACCUCCCAACUCAUCACUGCCUCAACCUUGGCCGGAUCGACCAAAAUCCCUUCCUGGUUAACGAGAUGUCCUAAGAACUGGACCUCCCGCAACCAGAAAUCACACUUGGAGAAUUUGGCAUAAAGCCUCUCCGAUCUCAGAACUCCGAGAACCUCUCUCAAAUGCUCCUCAUGCUGCUCUCUAGAUCUCGAAUAUACCAGAAUGUCGUCGAUAAAUACAAUCACCGACCGAUCCAGCAUCGGCCUACACACUCGGUUCAUGAGAUCCAUGAACACUGCCGGGGCAUUGGUGAGCCCGAAAGGCAUCACCACAAACUCAUAAUGCCCAUAACGCGUCCUGAACGCUGUCUUCUGGACGUCCUCAUCCCGCACCCUCACCUGAUGAUAUCCAGACCUCAAAUCGAUCUUGGAGAACCAAGAUGCUCCCUGCAACUGAUCGAACAAAUCGUCGAUCCUCGGCAACGGGUAACGGUUCUUGACCGUCAGCUUGUUCAACUCCCGGUAAUCAAUACACAUCCGGUGUGAACCAUCCUUCUUCUUGACGAACAGGAUAGGCGCUCCCCACGGCGAGCUGCUCGGCCGAAUAAACCCCUUCCCCAGCAGCUCCUGAAGCUGCGAGGAUAACUCUUGCAUCUCUGGAGGUGCAAGGCGAUAAGGCACCUUAGCGAUAGGCGCGGACCCCGGAACCAAGUCGAUACUGAACUCCACUUGCCUCAUAGGAGGCACACCCGGCAACUCCUCAGGAAAUACAUUCGGGAACUCACGCACUACGGGAACCUCCUCAACUGACCUCGGUCUCUCGGAAUCCACCCGCGUAUCCAUCACAUACGCCACAAAACCCUUACAGCCCUGCUGUAGACACUGCCUCGCCCUACCGGCCGAACAAAACGCUGAUCAUGAACGUGUACCCUCGCCGUACACCGUAAGAACUCCCCCACUAGGGUCUCGUAUGGUCACCAGCUGUCGCUCGCAGUCGAUAACCACACCGAAUCUGCUCAACCAGUCCAUGCCCACAAUGACACAGACAUCACCCAUCGCAAUAGGAACCAGAUAAAUCGGGAACUCAACACCGAAAAUCUCGACUACGCACCCUCGGAGAACCUCCGUGGCAUAUAUCACCCUCUCGUCAGCUAUGGAAACUCUCAGAGGCUGACUCAACGCCUCACGACUAACACUGAUAUGCUGACUAAAAGCCAAAGAUACAAAAGACCGACUCACACCCGAGCCAAAUAACACCAAGGCAGGUACAGAAUUCACAAGAAAAGUACCUACGCAUAACAUAAUAUAAGCAUAAUAAUCACUGGUCGACUCUCGGUGGCUCUGAUGGCGGCAGGGGCAGACCCCUGAGGUGCUCCCUGAGAUGAUCCUCGCAAUUGCGGACACUCUUGCCUUCCGGUGUCCAGUCUGGUUGCAGUGGAAACACACCGCAAAUCCCUUGGGGCAGUCCUUGGCCAUAUGCCCCUCCUUGCCACACUUGUAGAAAGAUCCCACUCUAUAGACUCCAUCGUGACCCUUGUUGCACUUCCCACAUGUGCGGCCCUUCUGGCUCCCUGGUUUGGGAUCAGCGGGCUUGGCCCGCUUGGCUGCCGGCUGAGACUGCGUCGGUCGCCGAUCCCUCACCUGAGACUCCGCCUCCUCCCUGGCCUGGGUCUCUAGCUCAAUCUCCCUCUUCCGGGCAUUUGCCUGAAGCUCAGCAAAUGUCCGAUACGAGGAGCUUGCCGCAAACUCCCGAAUACCUCUCCUCAAAAUACUCAGAUAUCGGCUCAUACGUGCCUGCUCGGUGGACACGUGCUCAGGGCAGAACAUCGCCCUCUCAUGGAACAUCCUGGUAAUCGCCAUAACAGAAUCAGUACCCUGCUUGAGGGUCAGAAACUCCUGGGCCAAACGCUCCCUCUCCACUUGGGGAACGUACUCAUCUCGGAACAUGGCAGUGAACCUCUCCCAGGUCACUGCCGCAAGCUCAGCAGGCGUAAAGUGCGCCAUCACAAACUUCCACCAGUCUUCGCUCCCAAGCGAAGCUGGUUCAGCAUAAACCGAACCUUCAAAUGCUCAGGAGAUGAGCAAGUGAAGAAACACCCCUCUAUGUCAGAAAUCCAUCUCAUAGCCGCCACCGGGUCCUGGGUCCCAUCAAACUCUGGCGGUUUUGUGUUGCUGAACUCUCGGAACAGCAACGCAUCACCACCAUGCAGCCUCGCGGCAGCAAUAGCUGCGGUGGCCGCUGCAACAGCAGCCUCAGAAAGAGCGGCAUAACGCUCGUCGAAGGUCUCAAUCAACGUGGUCUUAAUAGACCCGAACAUCUCUGGUAUCUCUGCCCUGAUGGCCGCAGCCACCUCCUCAUGGAUGAUCCGGCGGAUCUCCUCAUCACUGGUCUCACUGCUCUCAGGCAUCAGACGUGUCCUCACCAUGAUCUACCUCUGAAAUACAACAUACGAUAAAUUAGAAUCCAUUCGAGCAUACUCACACUCGACAACUCAUCCCUCCUUGAUCCUUGGUAUUCCAAAGAUUCCUACUUGGGCUGUACACCGCUCCGGUGCUUUCAGUAGUACGGGCCCAAUACUACUGUCCGCACCGUAUCAGAAUACACCCCAAGUCCUCCUCUUCGGAUCCCAAAUUCCAAGUACUCUAUCAUGCAUAAUCCACUCUCUAACAGAUCUCUCAUAAGCCCCUCGCUGCUACCUACUCACUCUCAAGCAUCUCAUAGCAGCUCACCUCUCCCUAGGCUAAGGCAUCACAAAUCAGGCCACUCUAGUCCUAAUAGGAGUACCUAGCCUACUCUAGCAUGAGAAUACAUCAUAUCAAUAUCAAUAUCACAUAACAUGAGGGUAUUUUGGGAAAUCACCGUUCGGGCGCGGACUGAUCGUACACACAACUCUGCUCUGCGUUCUUCCAAAAAUCUUUUACUCUUUUUGAAAAUACUUCUCAAAUCCUCAGUUUGAGUUCAAAUACGCCCGAAGGUGUACUCGAAUCCCUCAAACCAAGGCUCUGAUACCAACUUGUAACACCGUGAAUUUCAAAAUAAUUUUUCGCAUAAUAUAAAAACAUAUUCAUUUAAUUUUCAUAAAAACAUCAAUGUUUGAAACUCCAAUCCAUGUCAUACAAAGAAUCCCAAGAUCACAUAACAUAAAAAUCCCAUGUGUGUGUAUUGAUCAAGCCGACGCCUUCCCACGGUCAUCACUAGUACCUGAAACAAACAACACCAACACUAUAAGCGCAAAGCUUAGUGAGGUCCCCAAAAUACCACGCAUAACACAUAUUAGCCACUCGAGGCUAGAACUCUGUGGGUCUGUAGACCCUACUCUGUGAACCCUCUGCUUCUAACUCUAGGAAACUUCCGGUUCCAACUCUAUAAACAUGCACAGCAUAAAUCACAUAGAAAUAAUGCAGUACAACACAUAACAUACAUAUAGCAUACAAAUACUCUGUCACAUAACUCUGAUUACCUACUCAAGGUAAAGUAUAGUGAGAAGACUCACCUCGCGUAUCUCGAUAACUCGCAAAUCCCGGAAAUCACUCGCGCUCGAUCCUCCGAGCUAUAAUCCUCCUAUAACACA
rnacentral:lncRNA from 1 species